rnacentral:rRNA from 1 species
UGGGGAAUAUUGCACAAUGGGCGCAAGCCUGAUGCAGCGACGCCGCGUGGGGGAUGAUGGCCUUCGGGUUGUAAACCUCUUUCAGUGCCGACGAAGCGUAAGUGACGGUAGGCACAGAAGAAGCACCGGCCAACUACGUGCCAGCAGCCGCGGUAAUACGUAGGGUGCGAGCGUUGUCCGGAAUUACUGGGCGUAAAGAGCUCGUAGGUGGUUUGUCGCGUUGUUCGUGAAAACUCACAGCUUAACUGUGGGCGUGCGGGCGAUACGGGCAGACUGGAGUACUGCAGGGGAGACUGGAAUUCCUGGUGUAGCGGUGGAAUGCGCAGAUAUCAGGAGGAACACCGGUGGCGAAGGCGGGUCUCUGGGCAGUAACUGACGCUGAGGCGCGAAAGCGUGGGGAGCAACCAGGAUUAGAUACCCCUGUAGU